rnacentral:tRNA from 1 species
CCUUCGAUAGCUCAGUUGGUAGAGCGGGGGACUGUACAUCCCUAGGUCACUGGUUCAAAUCCGGUUCGAAAGA